CACUGUAAAGCUAAACAGCAUUAACCUUUUAAGUUAAAGAUUGAGAGAGCCACUCUCUCUACAGUGA
rnacentral:tRNA from 1 species